UACGUAGGGUGCAAGCGUUGUUCGGAUUCAUUGGGCGUAAAGGGUGCGUAGGUGGCGGGGUAAGUCUGGUGUGAAAUCUCGGGGCUCAACUCCGAAACUGCACUGGAUACUGCCUUGCUCGAGUACUGGAGAGGAGACUGGAAUUUACGGUGUAGCGGUGAAAUGCGUAGAUAUCGUAAGGAAGACCAGUGGCGAAGGCGGGUCUCUGGACAGUUCCUGACGCUGAGGCACGAAGGCCAGGGGAGCAAACGGG
rnacentral:rRNA from 1 species